rnacentral:rRNA from 1 species
AACGAACGCUGGCGGCAGGCCUAAAACAUGCAAGUCGAACGCCCUAGCAAUAGGGAGUGGCGCACGGGUGAGUAACGCGUGGGAACGUGCCCUUCAGUACGGAACAACGUCGGGAAACUGACGCUAAUACCGUAUAAUAUCUCCGGAUCAAAGAUUUAUCGCUGAAGGAUCGGCCCGCGUCUGAUUAGCUAGUUGGUGAGGUAAUGGCUCACCAAGGCUACGAUCAGUAGCUGGUCUGAGAGGAUGAUCAGCCACACUGGGACUGAGACACGGCCCAGACUCCUACGGGAGGCAGCAGUUAGGAAUAUUGGACAAUGGGCGAAAGCCUGAUCCAGCCAUGCCGCGUGUGUGAUGAAGGCCUUAGGGUUGUAAAGCACUUUCGUUGGGGAUGAUAAUGACCGUACCCAAAGAAGAAGCCACGGCUAAAUUCGUGCCAGCAGCCGCAGUAA